UACAGAGGGGGCAAGCGUUGUUCGGAAUUACUGGGCGUAAAGAGUGUGUAGGCGGUGCUCUAAGUCUGUUGUGAAAUCUCCCGGCUUAACCGGGAGGGUGCGGCGGAAACUGGAGUGCUUGAGGGUGGGAGAGGUAAGCGGAAUUCCUGGUGUAGCGGUGAAAUGCGUAGAUAUCAGGAGGAACACCUGUGGUGUAGACAGCUUACUGGACCACUUCUGACGCUGAGACACGAAAGCGUGGGUAGCAAACAGG
rnacentral:rRNA from 1 species